rnacentral:rRNA from 1 species
AUAGGGGAGCCGUAGGGAAACCGAGUCUUAACUGGGCGAAUGAGUUGCAGGGUAUAGACCCGAAACCCGGUGAUCUAGCCAUGGGCAGGUUGAAGGUUGGGUAACACUAACUGGAGGACCGAACCGACUAAUGUUGAAAAAUUAGCGGAUGACUUGUGGCUGGGGGUGAAAGGCCAAUCAAACCGGGAGAUAGCUGGUUCUCCCCGAAAGCUAUUUAGGUAGCGCCUCGUGAACUCAUCUUCGGGGGUAGAGCACUGUUUCGGCUAGGGGGUCAUCCCGACUUACCAACCCGAUGCAAACUACGAAUACCGAAGAAUGUUAUCACGGGAGACACACGGCGGGUGCUAACGUUCGUCGUGAAGAGGGAAACAACCCAGACCGCCAGCUAAGGUCCCAAAGUCAUGGUUAAGUGGGAAACGAAGUGGGAAGGCUCAGACAGCCAGGAUGUUGGCUUAGAAGCAGCCAUCAUUUAAAGAAAGCGUAAUAGCUCACUGGUCGAGUCGGCCUGCGCGGAAGAUGUAACGGGGCUAAACCAUGCACCGAAGCUGCGGCAGCGACAUGUAAAUGUUGUUGGGUAGGGGAGCGUUCUGUAAGCCUGUGAAGGUGUGCUGCGAGGCAUGCUGGAGGUAUCAGAAGUGCGAAUGCUGACAUAAGUAACGAUAAUGCGGGUGAAAAACCCGCACGCCGGAAGACCAAGGGUUCCUGUCCAACGUUAAUCGGGGCAGGGUGAGUCGACCCCUAAGGCGAGGCAGAAAUGCGUAGUCGAUGGGAAACAGGUUAAUAUUCCUGUACUGGUGAUAAUUGCGAUGGGGGGACGGAGAAGGCUAGGCUGGCCGGGCGACGGUUGUCCCGGUUUAAGGAUGUAGGUGGGCGAAUUAGGCAAAUCCGGUUCGCUAUACACUGAGGUCUGAUGACGAGUCACUACGGUGGCGAAGUAGCUCAUGCCCCGCUUCCAGGAAAAGCCUCUAAGCUCUAGAUUAUCAUUAAUCGUACCCCAAACCGACACAGGUGGUCAGGUAGAGAAUACUCAGGCGCUUGAGAGAACUCGGGUGAAGGAACUAGGCAAAAUGGUGCCGUAACUUCGGGAGAAGGCACGCUGGCA